UUCCUACGGGGGGCUGCAGUAGGGAAUUUUCGGCAAUGGGCGCAAGCCUGACCGAGCAACGCCGCGUGAGUGAUUAAGGCCUUCGGGUUGUAAAGCUCUGUUGUAAGGGAAGAACAUUCAGGAUAGGAAAUGAUCUUGAACUGACGGUACCUUACCAGAAAGCCACGGCUAACUACGUGCCAGCAGCCGCGGUAAUACGUAGGUGGCAAGCGUUAUCCGGAAUUAUUGGGCGUAAAGGGUGCGUAGGCGGUUUAUUAAGUCUAUGGUGAAAGUGCGGGGCUCAACCCCGUAUGGCCAUAGAAACUGGUAGACUUGAGUGCAGGAGAGGGCAAUGGAAUUCCAUGUGUAGCGGUAAAAUGCGUAGAUAUAUGGAGGAACACCAGUGGCGAAGGCGGUUGCCUGGCCUGUAACUGACGCUGAAGCACGAAAGCGUGGGGAGCAAAUAGGAUUAGAUACCCCAGUAGUCUC
rnacentral:rRNA from 1 species